rnacentral:rRNA from 1 species
UACGUAGGGGGCUAGCGUUGUCCGGAUUUAUUGGGCGUAAAGAGCGUGUAGGCGGCCAGGUAGGUCUGCUGUGAAAACUCGAGGCUCAACCUCGAGACGUCGGCGGAAACCAUCUGGCAGAGCGCCGAAGAGGAGAGUGGAAUUCCUGGUGUAGCGGUGAAAUGCGCAGAUAUCAGGAAGAACACCCGUGGCGAAGGCGGCUCUCUGGGACGGUACUGACGCUGAGACGCGAAAGCGUGGGGAGCGAACAGG